rnacentral:rRNA from 1 species
CAGCCGCGCGGUAAUACAGAGGGUGCGAGCGUUAAUCGGAUUUACUGGGCGUAAAGCGUGCGUAGGCGGCUUCUUAAGUCGGAUGUGAAAUCCCUGAGCUUAACUUAGGAAUUGCAUUCGAUACUGGGAAGCUAGAGUAUGGGAGAGGAUGGUAGAAUUCCAGGUGUAGCGGUGAAAUGCGUAGAGAUCUGGAGGAAUACCGAUGGCGAAGGCAGCCAUCUGGCCUAAUACUGACGCUGAGGUACGAAAGCAUGGGGAGCAAACAGGAUUAGAUACCCCGGUAGUCCCUGUCUCUUAUACA